rnacentral:rRNA from 1 species
GAUGAACGCUGGCGGCGUGCCUAAUACAUGCAAGUCGAACGAACAGGCGAGGAUCUUGCUCCUUCGACGUUAGCGGCGGACGGGUGAGUAACACGUAGGUAACCUACCUACUAGACUGGAAUAACUUCGGGAAACCGGAGCUAAUACCGGAUAAUAUUUCGAACCGCAGGGUUCGAUAGUUAAAGAUGGCUUUGCUAUUACUGAUAGAUGGACCUGCGCCGUAUUAGCUUGUUGGUAAGGUAACGGCUUACCAAGGCAACGAUACGGAGCCGACCUGAGGGGGUGAUCGGCCACGCUGGAACUGAGACACGGUCCAGACUCCUACGGGAGGCAGCAGUAGGGAAUCUUCCGCAAUGGGCGAGAGCCUGACGGAGCAACGCCGAGUGAGUGAUGAAGGUCUUCGGAUCGUAAUACUCUGUUAUUAGGGAAGAACAAACGUGUAAGUAACUGUGCACGUCUUGACGGUACCUAAUCAGAAAGCCACGGCUAACUACGUG